UUCAGUUUCUGAUUGCACAUGUUUCUUCCCAUACAUUACCUCCUCAAUUUUGAUGCGUCAUACGUUUUUAACUUAUAGUUUUUUUACUUAGGUGGUAUGAUUUAAUUUGACGGUAUUAUACAUUCAACCUGCCAAGAAACUGUGUGAAAAUGAGCCUGUAUGGUGCUAAACGUGGUUCACCCAAAGCACAUGUUCUCAUUGAGCUUCGUUGGUAUUUCAGGCACUGAUUUCUGUUCAUUGUGAUGAUUGUAGCUUACAGUUAAUAAAAACACAAAACUUAGCUUCUUAGAAAAUUCAAAUAUUACAUAGGACCACUAAAAAACAAAGAUUUGAUGACCUUGUUUGACCUUUACAACAGCAGCCUUUACCCUCUCAGAAUAACUGCCUGUCUGGACCGACAGCCAGCAGCAGAACUUUACAGCUUAAAACUGAAGUUAAACCUGACCAAUCAGGUCUCUGCUGGCGACCCGAUCUGUGAACACUGUGUGUUGGUCCAGGGGAGAGGAGGUUGGAGCUCCUGCAGAAAUAACCCCAUUCCAACAUGCAUCAGGGACCUUCGACCCCAAACAACCACUUAGGUGUUCUGAUGGAGAGCUUUCUCUGUGCUGGGGCCUCACCCAGGGAUGGUCCUCCUCUGGACAUGAGGACAACGGACACCAUUUUGCAUGCCUCCAGAAGCUCGUUCUCUUCUCCAAACGUUUUUCUGUGUAAUUGACCUUUAUUUAGUGUUUUUCCUUUGUAUGUGUCUGUCUGUAUGCUUCAUGUGAUGUUCUUAUUGUGUUUUGAAAAACUGCUCUAUCAAUAAAGCAUUUAAUUACUUAUUAACCUUCUCUUCAUCCAUGAGAUCACUGAGGUCACCAUGGAAACCGAGGUGUGAGUCCUGCACAGGAUCUCUGACUCAUUUCCAGCUGAUGUUUCCUCCAUUAAUCUACGCAGGUGUUGGGAAAAGAAAUCGUGAUUUAGUGUCCUCCUCAGGUGAACAGUGUGGGCGGGCUGCUUGUGUCUAAAUGAAUCCACGUGUGAGCUUAGGAGGAGAGGAGGAGAUAACUCCUCGCUUCAGACCAGGGCCAGAGAAGCUGGUCGGAGCUGAAGGGAGGAUGGAUGGAGCUAAAUCCAGGACAAUCCCUGAAGAAACCUGUUGGAGGCUGCAGAAGAAUGAAGACUGGGGUGGAGGUUCACCUUCUAGCAGGACAACUACCCUGAACAUCCAACCAGAGCUACAAGAUGUUUACAUGAAGGCAUAUCCAUGUGUUAAAAUGGCCUAGUCAAAGUCAUCAUGGAAUCCAUGGCAAAACUUGAAACAAAUUAAUGAGGAAUGGGCACAAAUUUCAGUCUGUAAAAAGCAGGAAGAGAGUUUUUGCUGUUGUAACUAUGGCAACAUGUGGUUCUAUAAAGUAAUUACUCAUGGGACUGAAAACAAAGGCAUGCCAUACUUUUCAGAUUUUUAAAACCUUUGUAAAAGAAAAGGAAUGACUUUCCCUCCACUUUCCCAAUUAGUCCCUACUCUGUGUUGAUCUAUAACAAACAAUUUCAAUAAAAUACACUGAAUUCAUGCUCGUCACAUGACACAGUGUAGAAAAAUUCAAA